UACGAAGGGGGCUAGCGUUGCUCGGAAUCACUGGGCGUAAAGGGCGCGUAGGCGGCCAUUCAAGUCGGGGGUGAAAGCCUGUGGCUCAACCACAGAAUUGCCUUCGAUACUGUUUGGCUUGAGUCUGGUAGAGGUUGGUGGAACUGCGAGUGUAGAGGUGAAAUUCGUAGAUAUUCGGAAGAACACCAGUGGCGAAGGCGACUUACUGGACACAUAUUGACGCUGAGGUGCGAAAGCGUGGGGAGCAAACAGG
rnacentral:rRNA from 1 species